CCCGUGCCCACGCCCUCGGUGUCGCUGCUGCCGCCCUCCCUGCACGACCUCUACCUGUCCAGCAGCCCCAACCUCACCUGCGUGGCCACCAACCUCAAAUCGCCGCGGGCCAAAUUCACCUGGAGCCGCGCCCCGCCCGGGGGCGGGGCCUCGGUGGGCGUGGCCACGCCGGGCCCCGCCCAGCGCCUGCCCAGCGGCCUCUACGAGCUGCGGAACUUUCUGGGCCUCUGCGCCGAGGACUGGAACUCGGGCGACGUCUUCACCUGCGCCGUGGCCGUCGAGGAGCUGGGGCCCGA